ACGGCGAGUGAAGCGGUAACAGCUCAAAUUUGAAAUCUGGCCUCACGGUCCGAGUUGUAAUUUGUAGAGGAUGCUUCGAGCAUGGUCUGGCCUAAGUUCCUUGGAACAGGACGUCAUAGAGGGUGAGAAUCCCGUAUGCGGCCAGGUGCCUACGCUCAUGUGAAGCUCCUUCGACGAGUCGAGUUGUUUGGGAAUGCAGCUCAAAAUGGGUGGUAAAUUUCAUCUAAAGCUAAAUAUUGGCCAGAGACCGAUAGCGCACAAGUAGAGUGAUCGAAAGAUGAAAAGCACUUUGGAAAGAGAGUUAAACAGUACGUGAAAUUGUUGAAAGGGAAGCGCUUGCAACCAGACUUGCGCGCGGCCGAUCAUCCGGUGUUCUCACCGGUGCACUCGGCCGUGCUCAGGCCAGCAUCGGUUUUGGCGGCUGGAUAAAGGCCCUAGGAAUGUAGCUCCUCUCGGGGAGUGUUAUAGCCUAGGGUGCAAUGCAGCCUGCUGGGACCGAGGACCGCGCUUCGGCUAGGAUGCUGGCGUAAUGGUUGUAAGCGGCCCGUCUUGAAACACGGACCAAGGAGUCUAACAUCUAUGCGAGUGUUUGGGUGUCAAACCCAUACGCGUAAUGAAAGUGAACGGAGGUGAGAACCCUUAAGGGUGCAUCAUCGACCGGUCCUGAAGUUUACGGAAGGAUCUGAGUAAGAGCAUAGCUGUUGGGACCCGAAAGAUGGUGAACUAUGCCUGAAUAGGGUGAAGCCAGAGGAAACUCUGGUGGAGGCUCGCAGCGGUUCUGACGUG
rnacentral:rRNA from 1 species